rnacentral:lncRNA from 1 species
CCAGCCUCACACGCCUGUGUCCGUCGUGCCCGUGUGGUGCGCACAUGACCUACUUCGUCAUCCCUACAGCCAUGUCUCGCCACACGGCCUCUACACGGGCAGUCCACACGCUCGUGUGGCAUCGACAGUAGUGUUUUUUACUUUCACCGAAAUAUGAUUUCAGAUUGAUUGGAAUACACACCUGGUUUCGAUUAAAGCCUAACGCAAUCCUAACACUCCAGAACUUAUAUUCGAUAAUGU